rnacentral:rRNA from 1 species
UACGAAGGGGGCUAGCGUUGUUCGGAAUUACUGGGCGUAAAGCGCACGUAGGCGGACUGUUAAGUCGGACGUGAAAUCCCUCAGCUUAACUGAGGAAGUGCAUUCGAAACUGGCAGUCUUGAGUAUGGAAGAGGGUCGCGGAAUUCCCGGUGUAGAGGUGAAAUUCGUAGAUAUCGGGAGGAACACCAGUGGCGAAGGCGGCGACCUGGGCCAAUACUGACGCUGAGGUGCGAAAGCGUGGGGAGCAAACAGG